UGCACAGCAAAGACUACUGCAGGCUUCAAAACAAGCAUGUUUUCAAAUGGUGCUAUGAGUUACCAAUGAUGUAUCACCACCAUAUCUCAUUAUUCUUCACUAAAUGUGAUAAUAAUGUGAUCUGUUAACAUAAAAAAGUUUGACUUCACAAAAGCAGCUGGAAAUGGACAACCAGCAUAUGCAUAAAUCUAACUCCUACCAUCGGCUACACACUGCUUGACACAUAUUGUUAGAAGCACCUCGCAUUUGCGGCUUCUCUUCAGCAAAAUACUUGCAUUAGAUCUCAGCUGGGGCCGUGCAUCAGGCAGUUUGGGAAAUAUUACCCUCUCACGAGAGGCCAGAAUUUCAAUUCCAUCGUCUUGUAGGAGUCAUUUACCGGGUCCAGCAAGGAUUCAGGCAGCCAGGUG
ensembl:misc_RNA